GCCCCGGUAGCUUAAAUUAAAGCAUUGGUCUUGUAAACCAAAGACUGUAGACUAACAUCUACUCGGGGCU
rnacentral:tRNA from 1 species